rnacentral:rRNA from 1 species
UACGGAGGGUGCGAGCGUUGUCCGGAAUCAUUGGGCGUAAAGGGCGCGUAGGUGGCUUCUUAAGCGUGCGGUGAAAGCCUGGGGCUCAACCCCGGGUCGGCCGUGCGAACUGGGGGGCUGGAGCACUGUAGAGGCAGGCGGAAUUCCGGGUGUGAGCGGUGGAAGUGCGUAGAGAGUCCGGCAAAGAACACCGGUGGCGAAGGCGGCCUGCUGGGCAGUGCUGACACUGAGGCGCGACAGCGUGGGGAGCAAACAGG